CAUUAGUGACAGUGACCAGUGGCAACAGGAUGUGGGCGUGUCCAGUGGACACAUUGAAGUUAAGAAAAGUUUGACAGUAUGCAAAUGAGGAGCGAAGCAGCGACUACCAAUGGGAAUGAAGAUAACAGAUCUCCAACUAUUCAAAAUGUGUAAGCUGUGCUUGCCUAUGGAGACCAAACUAGCAGCUUAUAAAAUCUCGACAACACAUCAACCCUUCGCAAGAAUGUAGAGUCUCAGUCUUUAGCAAUGCUGGCUGCUGGGGGCAAAGGCUGCCCUUCACUCUGAGGCGUCUCUUCUUCUGACUUCUCUCAUGGAAACUGCCGGCGCCGCACUGAAUUAAUCAGGCCAUUCCAGAGGAGCAGACCUUCAGUGCCUGAGUUUAAGACAGAGCCACAAGUCCAGGUGUGACUCUCACUAUUAGAACAUGAAUAAAAUGACUAUUCUAGGCA
ensembl:lncRNA